rnacentral:rRNA from 1 species
UACGUAGGGGGCAAGCGUUGUCCGGAUUUAUUGGGCGUAAAGAGCGUGUAGGCGGCCAGACAAGUCUGCUGUGAAAACUCGAGGCUCAACCUCGAGCUGUCGGUGGAAACUGUCUGGCUAGAGUCCGGAAGAGGAGAGUGGAAUUCCUGGUGUAGCGGUGAAAUGCGCAGAUAUCAGGAAGAACACCUAUGGCGAAGGCAGCUCUCUGGGACGGUACUGACACUGAGGCGCGAAAGCGUGGGGAGCGAACAGG